rnacentral:rRNA from 1 species
UACGUAGGGUGCAAGCGUUGUCCGGAAUUAUUGGGCGUAAAGAGCUCGUGGGCGGUCUGUCGCGUCGGAUGUGAAAAUCCAGGGCUUAACCCUGGACCUGCAUUCGAUACGGGCAGACUAGAGUUCGGUAGGGGAGACUGGAAUUCCUGGUGUAGCGGUGAAAUGCGCAGAUAUCAGGAGGAACACCGGUGGCGAAGGCGGGUCUCUGGGCCGAUACUGACGCUGAGGAGCGAAAGCGUGGGGAGCGAACAGG